UGAGGAAUAUUGGUCAAUGGGCGCAAGCCUGAACCAGCCAUGCCGCGUGCAGGAUUAAGGCCCUAUGGGUUGUAAACUGCUUUUGUACGGGAAGAAACAGAGGUUCGUGAACCUCCUUGACGGUACCGUAAGAAUAAGGAUCGGCUAACUCCGUG
rnacentral:rRNA from 1 species